AUGUUGGAGAAGACCUCUAAGACCAUUGAGUCCCACCAUUAAUCCAGCACUGCAAGUCCACCACUAAACCAUGUCCCCGAGCACCACAUCCGUGA